rnacentral:lncRNA from 1 species
UUCCCCCAGCCCCAGCCCGGCCCCGCUCCGCCUCACGCCCCGCAGCCCUGCGCGGUCGCCCGGCCCCCGGAGGGAGGGAGGGAGGGAGGGAAGGAAGGGAAGAGGGAGGGAAGGGGAGGACGGAGGCGCUGCUGGGGUGCGAAGGGAGGAUGGCGGAGAGGGGGGUAGAGGGCAAAGGGGGGGUGUGGGGGGGUGAGGGGUUGAGCCGCCUGCGCUGGGGAGGCGCGAGGGAACGAAUGUGGGGCGGAGAGUGGAGGAGGAUUUAAAAAAAUAAUAAUAAUAAUGAAGAAAAAGAAGAAGAAGAAAAAGCCAAGGGGAAGUCAAGGGCUGAGGGGUUACGGGAUUUGCGGUGGGGGUGAAGGGAAAUGCAGAGGGGGGAGGCGCUGGGGGGAGCGUGAGGUGAGCGGGCAGCGCCGUGACCCGCGGCCCGGCUGCCGGGGGCUGCUCGGGGUCCCUGGGGUCGGGUUCUGGAAGCGUUAUUGGUGUAGGGGCGUUACUGGUAUAGGGGCGUUAUUGGCGUGAGGAAGUUAUUUGUGAGAGUUAUUUGUGAGGGGGGCAGCGGGCCCGGCGCCCCCCGUACCUGGCCUCAGGGGAGGCCCCGGGCGCCCCCUCCCACGCCGAGCUCCGCGGCCUGCCCUGCGGUGAGCUGAGGGAUUUCACGGAAUCAGCAAAUAUCCCGCCUUGGAAAGGACCCGUGUUUGUAUUUACAGCUUAACCCGCGGUGAUGUGCUGCUGGUGCUCGCCUUCUGGGGCUUUCAGGUGCGCAGGCAGCUCAAGGAAUAUAAUUCUAGAAAGCAUGGAUGAAAAAGAUCCAAUCUGUUUCACCUGCUGCCACUGCAAGAGUGUUUACAUGCUUUCAUUAAAGGUUUUCAAAUCCCUAGGCGCUCUAGAAAUGCAAAGCUUUGCCGGCACGUCUCCUAUUUUUAAGUACUCCCGACUCCGAGGUGGUUCAUGGAAGGAAAUCCGAAGUACUUGCAGCACUC